rnacentral:tRNA from 1 species
GGGCCUGUAGCUCAAUUGGCUAGAGCGCCUCACUUGCACUGAGGAGGUAGCGGGUUCAAAUCCUGUCAGGUCCA